GACGAACGCUGGCGGCGUGCUUAACACAUGCAAGUCGAACGGAAAGGCCCUGCUUUUGUGGGGUGCUCGAGUGGCGAACGGGUGAGUAACACGUGAGUAACCUGCCCUUGACUUUGGGAUAACUUCAGGAAACUGGGGCUAAUACCGGAUAGGAGCUCCUGCUGCAUGGUGGGGGUUGGAAGGUUUCGGCGGUUGGGGAUGGACUCGCGGCUUAUCAGCUUGUUGGUGGGGUAGUGGCUUACCAAGGCUUUGACGGGUAGCCGGCCUGAGAGGGUGACCGGCCACAUUGGGACUGAGAUACGGCCCAGACUCCUACGGGAGGCAGCAGUGGAGAAUAUUGCACAAUGGGCGGAAGCCUGAUGCAGCAACACCGCGUGCGGGAUGACGGCCUUCGGGUUGUAAACCGCUUUCGCCUGUGACGAAGCGUGAGUGACGGUAAUGGGUAAAGAAGCACCGGCUAACUACGUG
rnacentral:rRNA from 1 species